CUGGGAUGUUCACUCCGGCUUUGAGCCAAUACUGUAGGAUGGAACUCAGGACCUUGUGCUUGCAAGGCAGGAAGCAGCACCACUGAGCUAAAUCCACGGCCCUGUCUGACUAUAAUUUUAUGAGAAUGCAACCAAGAUUGGAAGAAGUUGAGAAGGACAUAAUCAUGGAGGACACAAAGGCUAGGCUUUGAAGGACUAGUAGGAAAUUGGGAAAGCAGCAGGAUGGGAAGAGAGCAUUCUACAUAUUCUGGGGAAAGAUGUUGGAAUGAAGGCAGCAGAGGGACAAGGACAAAAAUACGACAGACCAUGCCAGAAAAUGUCUAUCACCUACUAGCAGCAUCUCAUUGAUGUUUUGACAUAGGGAAGAUGUGGAAUCUCUGGAACCAAUGAAGAGAACUACACUCUGAAAGUUCAAUGUACAGUACAUGGGUCUGUUUUUCCAGAAAAUAACAUGUAUUUUUAGGGCUUUUGUACUCCUGUAGUUUAGAAUAAAACAUGACUGUCUCCUAAGUGGAAUAAAGGGAAGUGUGUAUUCUGGAUCCUUAAGGGAAAGAUCAGCUGAAGCAAUCUGGACCCCAUCCUCAUGAGACCAGAUCUUAUGAGCAAGGGCUCUGAACCAUAUUUCUUCAAAGAUAAACUUCAAAAAAUUCUCAAUUCUUAUUUUAGUAAACAUUGAAAUUAUUUUAUCUUCUCAC
rnacentral:lncRNA from 1 species